CGCCUUGCCAGCCCGCUACAGAAACUUAAAGGAAUUGACGGGGCCCGCACAAGCGGUGGAGCAUGUGGUUUAAUUCGAUGAUACGCGAGGAACCUUACCUGGGCUCAAAUGUAUGUUGACGUAUUCUGAAAGGGAUACUUCUUCGGACAAUAUACAAGGUGCUGCAUGGUUGUCGUCAGCUCGUGCCGUGAGGUGUCGGGUUAAGUCCCAUAACGAGCGCAACCCUACCUUUAGUUGCCAUCAGGUUAAGCUGGGGACUCUAAAGGAACUGCCUACGCAAGUAGUGAGGAAGGCGGGGAUGACGUCAAAUCAGCACGGCCCUUACGUCCAGGGCUACACACGUGCUACAAUGGCCGAUACAGAGGGCAGCUACCUGGUGACAGGAUGCAAAUCUCCAAAGUCGGUCUCAGUUCGGAUCGGAGUCUGCAACCCGACUCCGUGAAGUUGGAUUCGCUAGUAAUCGCGCAUCAGCCAUGGCGCGGUGAAUACGUUCCCGGGCCUU
rnacentral:rRNA from 1 species